ensembl:lncRNA
GGCUCUCCCUCCCAUCGUCUUCUUACGAUUUACAGCCAUACCUUGGUACUUGACUGCUUUGCAACUCAUUGAAUCUGAUACUCCGUGAAUUUUGAUGCAUACAUUUCACCCUGGUACUUGUCUUUGGUGCUUGAUGCACAAGCCAGAUUUUGUCAUUGUCAAUUGCCUUGUGACCCGCUACCCUUUCUGGCCCAGUUUGUCCAGUUCAUCAUUUUUGGUACCAGGAGCACCUGCCAGAACCAAUUAACGACGGGGACUAAGGUCCCUCUGUACCCAACUGUAUCUGGGCUUCUGCUUUGGGGGAAGCUCGGCACCCCCCGGCUGGUUUACACCGUCUACCACAUGGCUGUUUUGGCUUCCGCGUGGAGUGUGCUGGCUGCCUGGGUUUCGGUUUCGGUGGAAGGAAGGCUUAUGGCAACCGGAAGCCAUGGCUACCACAAGGUUCCGGUCACUUUGGGAGCCUGUCCCUGGGGAACCGCGAGAUUCAGAUCGGCCCAGAGGAGCACUUGUGUUUCCCCGGGAAGUGACAGGGUCUUCUAUGCAGCUCUGCCCACUUCCGGUGCUGCUCCGCACAUCUGCCGCGUGCUGUCCGGGGCAUCUGGCUGCCUCCCCGCGUAUGUCUACAUCGUGCUGUUUGUUUCGAGCCGAGUCCACAAUGCUGACCUUUUCCGAAAUCCUUUAGCUCUGGAGCUGACCAUGCUGCCCAGAGGAACGUGGCUGGACUGUGGGUGAGGCGAGAAGGCUGCGUUGAACUUCCCGGGGCUGCUGAUUUUCUCCCGACUUUAGGAUGUGGGUUUCUUCCUCUUUUUCCUGGCUCUUCUCACAUCUGAAAAUGUGCUGAACAAGUAGACAGAUGAGACUCCUCCUUUUUUUAAGACAGGGCCUUGCUAUGCAGUUCAGCCUGGCCUUGAACUCCACUGUGUAGCCCAGGUGGGCCUCAAACUCAUGGCAAUCCUCCUGCCUCGCCUCCUGAGUGCUGAGUUGACAGGAUCAUUUUACUUCUAAAACUCAGGGACAAACUUAAUAGAAAAAAAGGUAAAUAAAAAUCAGUGUAAAACCAUUCGGAGUAGCAGAGACCCCUGAUUAAUUUCAUAUUGGUCAUUUGAGAAGUGCCUUAACCAAGCAAAGACAACGAACCUCAGAGCAAAAUUGCUCACUCAGAACCUCAGUUCUGGGUGUUUCUGAAUGGCCAUUGGCCUGGGAGUGGGGAGCCUGUGAAUUUGAACCCCCUCCAGAUUCAUCUGACCGCCUCUGCCUGGCAGUUGUCAAAAUCACUUACUGCAGGGGUAGGAGGAGAGACUUCUGUGUUGGUGCUUAACUAUUUCUGCAGAAUCUUUGUAUGCUAAGAGCUAAAAAAAUUUAAAAAAAUAAAAAGGGUUCUGUGUACCGGAUGUGUGAACCAGGCAACAAUGAAUUGUUUGGUUUUUUUUGGUACUGGGGAUUGAACUCAGGACCUUGCGCUUGUGAGGCAGGUGCCAGAACCACUGAGCUAAAUCCCUGGCUCCAACAAUGAAUUCUUAAAAAAAAUAAAUAAAUAAAAUCAGUAUGAAACCUAAGUCUUUUUUUUUUUUAACCAUUGAAAUUGUUUUAAUGUUGUUGCAACUCCAAAAUGC